AUUAACGACAUGAGAGUGGUAUUUUGGUUAGGUGAGGUUGGCGAUGAUGCGCAACCGGUAAAGUUGUGGGGUAGGACUUAGGUUUUAUGGACGGAAGGAAAAAAUGGACCAACCUUGUAAAUGAGGUGUAUCGGUGUAUACAUUGAUGAUUGGUUUGUCUAAGUGAAAACGUGAAACAUGAUGGUCGGCAAUGUUGGCAAAGCAAAACAAGUCGGACAAAAUUUUAUGUGGACGAAACAAAAAGACGAAAAUAUUAGAAAUCGGUUUGUACAGUUUUUUUUGGCAAACUAAAUCCAAAUUAACAGUCGCCAUUGCUGCUUUUUGUUUGUUGACUUUUAUGCAUUAUUUUAAUUUGAAUUUUAAACGACGUUGACUUCUUUUCAAGCUUGAACAUUUUGACUUAUAUAAAGAAUAAAAAUUGAUGACAUUGAAAAUUUGAAAUCCGAUUUAUUUUUUUGGUUUAAAAAUAUAAAUUUGAUUCCAAAAUAGUCAACUGUAGAUUCAUUUGUUCCCAUUAGAGCUGAAGAAGAAAACAAACAAUUGAAUAGACAUUAAUCACUUUAAUAUACAAUUUAUUGAUGAAAAAACAAGUCAACAAAGAUGAUGUUAUGAUUUUCAGAAGAAAAGGAAAAAAAAAAAAGUAGAAAUGUCAUUUUCCUUUUUCACGCGGAGAAUUAUAACUAGAUAAACUCCUAGAAAUCUUAAUAGUUACAGUUGAGUUAAUAUUUCUUUGAAUAUAUCAUUUUCAUUAAUCGUAAUCAUCAAUUCCUUUAUUGACUAACUGUUAGAUAACUGUUGAAUAUCCUGACAAUUGAACCUCCAUUGUUUGAUCUGUUCAAACUUCUGGUGGCCAGGAUUGAUUCUUGGACAGAAAAUUGGUAACUAAUGAUAACCCAUUAAGGUCGUGAUCAUAAGAAAUCGCUAUAUUUAGAAGUUGAAAUUUAUUGGAAUAACCCAAAAUCCAUCCAUGAAAAUCCAAAUAAGAGUUUGAAUUCAAAUUGUUCAUUCCUAUUAUUAUGAAUCUUUCUUUAUACAAAAUAUAUACGUUUAAGCAACAAAUCGGAUCUAUUCUCCUAAAAACAUGAAAUUUCAAUUAUUAUUAUUCCUACUCCUCGGAUUGUAAACAUAACAAGCAGUCAAUCUUAGUUUCGUUGUUUUCAUUACGAUAUAAUGGAUGAUAUAUUAUUUGAUUAUGAUAGAUUGAGUCUUUCAAUCUUUGUAUUUGUAAAAAGAUACCUUCAGUUAUAAAAAAAAAUAACUCCAUGACUUUGCCCCUAAGCUUAAGAUAAAAUUAUCGAUAAAUAAUUAGGGUUUAGUAAAAAAUAUAAAAAGGAAUAAAUUUUGAUGUUUGAAUGGACAAUGAAAUCCAUGACAACUUGACAAGUAAAUGAAUAAAUUGAUUUUAAUGUUUUAACUUUAAACUCUUGCAUGUCUGGUAAAAUCUUAAAAAUAUAUAUAUUAAAUUAGAUGAGGUUUAAUUGUUUGAAAUGAGAUUGGGUGAUUAAUUAAUUAAUUAAAGAACAUGGAUGAUUGAUUUAAGAAAAGUCAGAUGGAGGCGCACAUGCGAUUCCAUCUUUAGUCCAAUUAUGCUAUUAUGCACAUGCAUCGAUGCACAACGCGUGUUUCAACGUAAUAUAAUUUAUUUUAUUAUUUUAGUCCAUUUGAAUUUCAAUAUAUCCACUUUAAUUUUUAUUUACUUAUAUAUGACUUAUCUCAAGGUUUAUUAAUGACAGUUUGCGUUAUAUUUUUACAGCUUUUUUUAGGAAGUUCAGUAUAGAGUGAGUUCAAAAACGCUCACAUUAUCUGAACCAUUGGAUAUUGUGCAGAGUCAUCUAAAUUGUCCUUUAAUUAUAAUAUUUUUUAAUGUUUUGGACAGACUUGAAC
rnacentral:lncRNA from 1 species